rnacentral:rRNA from 1 species
AAGUCUGAUGGAGCAACGCCGCGUGAGUGAUGAAGGUUUUCGGAUCGUAAAACUCUGUUGUAAGGGAAGAACCAGUACGUCAGGCAAUGGACGUACCUUGACGGUACGUUAUUAGAAAGCCACGGCUAACUACGUGCCAGCAGCCGCGGUAAUACGUAGGUGGCGAGCGUUGUCCGGAUUUACUGGGCGUAAAGGGUGCGUAGGCGGAUAUUUAAGUCAGAUGUGAAAACCCCGGGCUUAACUUGGGGACUGCAUUUGAAACUGGAUAUCUAGAGUGCAGGAGAGGAAAGCGGAAUUCCUAGUGUAGCAGUGAAAUGCGUAGAGAUUAGGAAGAACACCAGUGGCGAAGGCGGCUUUCUGGACUGUAACUGACGCUGAGGCACGAAAGCGUGGGUAGCAAACA